rnacentral:tRNA from 1 species
GCUAUUUUAGUUUAAUUUAAGAACGCUUGAUUUGUAACCAAGAAGUAUCGAAGUAGCU